rnacentral:rRNA from 1 species
UACGGGGGGAGCAAGCGUUGUUCGGAUUUACUGGGCGUAAAGGGCGCGUAGGCGGCCACCGCAAGUCGACUGUGAAAUCUCUGGGCUUAACCCAGAACGGUCAGCCGAUACUGCGGGGCUAGAGUGCAGAAGGGGCAACUGGAAUUCUCGGUGUAGCGGUGAAAUGCGUAGAUAUCAGGAGGAACACCGGUGGCGAAGGCGGCCCUCUGGACGGAUACUGACGCUGAGGCGCGAAAGCGUGGGGAUCAAACAGG